rnacentral:tRNA from 1 species
GCCCCCGUCUUGGAUGAGCAGGUCUUUCGUAAAGACCUAAGCGAGAGUUCGAAUCUCUCCGGGGGUA